rnacentral:rRNA from 1 species
UACGUAGGGGGCAAGCGUUGUCCGGAAUCAUUGGGCGUAAAGCGCGUGUAGGCGGCUCGGUAAGUCCGCUCUGAAAGCCCGGGGCUCAACCCCGGGAGGCGGGUGGAUACUGCUGAGCUCGAGUCCGGAAGAGGAGUGUGGAAUUCCUGGUGUAGCGGUGAAAUGCGCAGAUAUCAGGAGGAACACCAAUGGCGAAGGCAGCACUCUGGGACGGUACUGACGCUGAGACGCGAAAGCCAGGGGAGCAAACGGG